AGCGAACGCUGGCGGCAGGCUUAACACAUGCAAGUCGAGCGCCCCGCAAGGGGCGCGGCAGCCGGGAGAGUAACACGUGGGAACAUACCUUUUGGUUCGGAACAACUGAGGGAAACUUCAGCUAAUACCGGAUAAGCCCUUACGGGGAAAGAUUUAUCGCCGAAAGAUUGGCCCGCGUCUGAUUAGCUAGUUGGUGAGGUAACGGCUCACCAAGGCGACGAUCAGUAGCUGGUCUGAGAGGAUGAUCAGCCUCACUGGGACUGAGACACGGCCCAGACUCCUACGGGAGGCAGCAGUGGGGAAUAUUGGACAAUGGGGGCAACACUGAGCCAGCCAUGCCGCGUGAGUGAUGAAGGCCUUAGGGUUGUAAAGCUCUUUUGCCCGGGAAGAUAAUGACGGUACCGGGAGAAUAAGCCCCGGCUAACUUCGUG
rnacentral:rRNA from 1 species